rnacentral:lncRNA from 1 species
ACUCUGCCAACUCCGUUUGCGAUAGAUUGUAGAUUGGGCCAAAAGGUGGUUGUGCUCCUUCUUGCAAGUCUAUGGCACAAUCAUAUGGUCGGUGUUCCGGUAGUAUGUCGGCGUUCUUCUUUUGAAACAUGUCUUCAAAAUCUUUAUAUUGCUCCGGUAUACUUGCUGUUGAGAUCUUCUCCUCGGUAGUUGGAGCCGCAU